rnacentral:rRNA from 1 species
GACGAACGCUGGCGGCGUGCUUAACACAUGCAAGUCGAACGAUGAACCCGGAGCUUGCUCCGGUGGAUUAGUGGCGAACGGGUGAGUAACACGUGAGUAACCUGCCCUUGACUCUGGGAUAACUGCGGGAAACUGUAGCUAAUACCGGAUACGACCCUCGGCGGCAUCGCCAGGGGGUGGAAAGAAUUUCGGUCAAGGAUGGACUGGCGGCCUAUCAGCUAGUUGGUGAGGUAACGGCUCACCAAGGCGACGACGGGUGGCCGGCCUGAGAGGGUAGACGGCCACACUGGGACUGCGACACGGCCCGGACUCCUACGGGAGGCAGCAGUGGGGAAUAUUGCACAAUGGGCGCAAGCCUGAUGCAGCAACGCCGCGUGAGGAAUGACGGCCUUCGGGUUGUAAACCUCUUUUAGUAGGGAAGAAGCGAAAGUGACGGUACCUGCAGAAAAAGCACCGGCUAACUACGUGCCAGCCGCCGCCGUAA